rnacentral:rRNA from 1 species
GACGAACGCUGGCGGCGUGCUUAACACAUGCAAGUCGAACGGAAAGGCCCUGCUUUUGUGGGGUGCUCGAGUGGCGAACGGGUGAGUAACACGUGAGUAACCUGCCCUUGACUUUGGGAUAACUUCAGGAAACUGGGGCUAAUACCGGAUAGGAGCUCCUGCUGCAUGGUGGGGGUUGGAAAGUUUCGGCGGUUGGGGAUGGACUCGCGGCUUAUCAGCUUGUUGGUGGGGUAGUGGCUUACCAAGGCUUUGACGGGUAGCCGGCCUGAGAGGGUGACCGGCCACAUUGGGACUGAGAUACGGCCCAGACUCCUACGGGAGGCAGCAGUGGGGAAUAUUGCACAAUGGGCGGAAGCCUGAUGCAGCAACGCCGCGCGCGGGAUGACGGCCUUCGGGUUGUAAACCGCUUUCGCCUGUGACGAAGCGUGAGUGACGGUAAUGGGUAAAGAAGCACCGGCUAACUACGUGCCAGCAGCCGCGGUGAUACGUAGGGUGCGAGCGUUGUCCGGAUUUAUUGGGCGUAAAGGGCUCGUAGGUGGUUGAUCGCGUCGGAAGUGUAAUCUUGGGGCUUAACCCUGAGCGUGCUUUCGAUACGGGUUGACUUGAGGAAGGUAGGGGAGAAUGGAAUUCCUGGUGGAGCGGUGGAAUGCGCAGAUAUCAGGAGGAACACCAGUGGCGAAGGCGGUUCUCUGGGCCUUUCCUGACGCUGAGGAGCGAAGGCGUGGGGAGCGAACAGGCUUAGAUACCCUGGUAGUCCACGCUGUAAACGGUGGGUACUAGGUGUGGGGUCCAUUCCACGGGUUCCGUGCCGUAGCUAAUGCUUUAAGUACCCCGCCUGGGGAGUACGGCCGCAAGGCUAAAACACAAAGGAAUUGACGGGGCCCCGCACAAGCGGCGGAGCAUGCGGAUUAAUUCGAUGCAACGCGUAGAACCUUACCUGGGUUUGACAUGGAUCGGGAGUGCUCAGAGAUGGGUGUGCCUCUUUUGGGGUCGGUUCACAGGUGGUGCAUGCCUGUCGUCAGCUCGUGUCGUGAGAUGUUGGGUUAAGUCCCGCAACGAGCGCAACCCUUGUUCACUGUUGCCAGCACGUUAUGGUGGGGACUCAGUGGAGACCGCCGGGGUCAACUCGGAGGAAGGUGGGGAUGACGUCAAGUCCUCAUGCCCCUUAUGUCCAGGGCUUCACGCAUGCUACAAUGGCUGGUACAGAGAGUGGCGAGCCUGUGAGGGUGAGCGAAUCUCGGAAAGCCGGUCUCAGUUCGGAUUGGGGUCUGCAACUCGACCUCAUGAAGUCGGAGUCGCUAGUAAUCGCAGAUCAGCAACGCUGCGGUGAAUACGUUCCCGGG